rnacentral:rRNA from 1 species
GGGGAAUAUUGCACAGUGGGGGAAACCCUGAUGCAGCGACGCCGCGUGAGCGAAGAAGUAUUUCGGUAUGUAAAGCUCUAUCAGCAGGGAAGAAAAUGACGGUACCUGACUAAGAAGCCCCGGCUAACUACGUGCCAGCAGCCGCGGUAAUACGUAGGGGGCAAGCGUUAUCCGGAUUUACUGGGUGUAAAGGGAGCGUAGACGGCUCUGCAAGUCUGGAGUGAAAACCCGGGGCUCAACCCUGGGACUGCUUUGGAAACUGUGGAGCUUGAGUACCGGAGGGGUAAGCGGAAUUCCUAGUGUAGCGGUGAAAUGCGUAGAUAUUAGGAGGAACACCAGUGGCGAAGGCGGCUUACUGGACGGUAACUGACGUUGAGGCUCGAAAGCGUGGGGAGCAAAC